rfam:Gymnopus luxurians FD-317 M1 unplaced genomic scaffold GYMLTscaffold_114, whole genome shotgun sequence.
GCCGGUGUGGCGCAAUGGUAGCGCGUAGCUUUCCUAGAGCUUUUAUAAGCUAGUUUGAGGCUGAAGUUGCGGGUUCGAUCCCCGUCGUCGGUU